CCAAUAGCGUAUAUUAAAGUUGUUGCAGUUAAAAAGCUCGUAGUUGAAUUUCGGGAUUAGUACGCUGGUCGUGCCUUCGGUAUGUACUGGUGUUACUGGUUCCUACCUUCUGACGAACCGUCAUGUCAUUAAUUUGGUGUGGCGGGGAAUCAGGACUGUUACUUUGAAAAAAUUAGAGUGUUUAAAGCAGGCUCGCGCUUGAAUACAUUAGCAUGGAAUAAUGAAAUAGGACGUUCGAUCCUAUUUUGUUGGUUUCUAGGAUUGACGUAAUGAUUAAUAGGGAUAGUUGGGGGCAUUAGUAUUCAAUUGUCAGAGGUGAAAUUCUUGGAUUUAUUGAAGACUAACUACUGCGAAAGCAUUUGCCAAGGAUGUUUUCAUUAAUCAAGAACGAAAGUUAGGGGAUCGAAGACGAUCAGAUACCGUCGUAGUCUUAACCAUAAACUAUGCCGACUAGGGAUCGGAUGAUGUUAUUUUUAAUGACUCAUUCGGCGCCUUACG
rnacentral:rRNA from 1 species